rnacentral:tRNA from 1 species
GAGGGUAUAGCUCAGUGUAGCGUGUGCCUAGCAUGCAUGAGGUCCUGGGUUUGAUCCCCAGUACCUCCA